rnacentral:tRNA from 1 species
GUCAGUGUGGCCGAGUGGUUAAGGCGUCAAACUCGAAAUCUGAUACGUUCGCGUGCACAGUCGAAUCCUGUCGCUGACG